UACGUAGGGGGCAAGCGUUGUCCGGAUUUAUUGGGCGUAAAGAGCGUGUAGGCGGCCAUACAGGUCAGCUGUGAAAACUCGGGGCUCAACCUCGAGACGUCGGUUGAAACCGUAUGGCUAGAGUCCGGAAGAGGAGAGUGGAAUUCCCGGUGUAGCGGUGAAAUGCGCAGAUAUCGGGAAGAACACCUAUGGCGAAGGCAGCUCUCUGGGACGGUACUGACGCUGAGACGCGAAAGCGUGGGGAGCGAACAGG
rnacentral:rRNA from 1 species